rnacentral:piRNA from 1 species
UACUACACUGCGUAGGAUGCUCCACAG